UAAACACACAUACAUCAUACACACAGUACACAUUCAUAUAUCUCUGCGUAAAUUAUAGAAUAAAAAUCACUAGCGGAUAAAUAUUCUUGUAAGUCAAGGUCUCAUGGCUAAAAAAAACGCACAAUGACUCGAUCGACACUUCAUUGUCAUUUUUUGAGCCCAAAACAUAACGUGUGUUAAGAAAAACUUACUGAUCUUGGUACUUUUACCUCGACUUUUAGUUUGGUGAAGCAUAUGUGUGUGUGUGUGUGUGUGUGUGUGUGUGUGUGUGUGUGUGUGUGUGUGUGUGUGUGUGUG